rnacentral:lncRNA from 1 species
ACCGGGACGGGUGCGUUCACCGUCCCUAGUGAGUUUGGGUCAGAGAUCGCAUUUUUGUUAUAUCUACAGAUAGUCAGUGUUGGUUAGCAAUAAUAUAGUGGCAUAUAGCUGUAGGGUUUCCAGCUUUCCUUACUAUCUCUUACGCACUUUUCUAUAUAUUUAGUAGGUGAGCCGUUGAGGUCGGUGACAGCACCCACUGAGGACUACUUUUUUUUGCAGUAGUUCUCACACCCAGUUGUUGACCUUUUUUGCAGAGCCUU